rnacentral:rRNA from 1 species
UCUGGGACAAGCCCUGGAAACGGGGUCUAAUACCGGAUAAUACCUUCUCCUGCAUGGGAGGGGGUUGAAAGCUCCGGCGGUGAAGGAUGAGCCCGCGGCCUAUCAUCUUGUUGGUGGGGUGAUGGCCUACCAAGGCGACGACGGGUAGCCGGCCUGAGAGGGCGACCGGCCACACUGGGACUGAGACACGGCCCAGACUCCUACGGGAGGCAGCAGUGGGGAAUAUUGCACAAUGGGCGAAAGCCUGAUGCAGCGACGCCGCGUGAGGGAUGACGGCCUUCGGGUUGUAAACCUCUUUCAGCAGGGAAGAAGCGCAAGUGACGGUACCUGCAGAAGAAGCACCGGCUAACUACGUGCCAGCAGCCGCGGUAAUACGUAGGGUGCGAGCGUUGUCCGGAAUUAUUGGGCGUAAAGAGCUCGUAGGCGGCUUGUCACGUCGGUUGUGAAAGCCCGGGGCUUAACCCCGGGUCUGCAGUCGAUACGGGCAGGCUAGAGUGUGGUAGGGGAGAUCGGAAUUCCUGGUGUAGCGGUGAAAUGCGCAGAUAUCAGGAGGAACACCGGUGGCGAAGGCGGAUCUCUGGGCCAUUACUGACGCUGAGGAGCGAAAGCGUGGGGAGCGAACAGGAUUAGAUACCCUGGUAGUCCACGCCGUAAACGUUGGGAACUAGGUGUUGGCGACAUUCCACGUCGUCGGUGCCGCAGCUAACGCAUUAAGUUCCCCCGCCUGG